ACUGCGUGGGUUCUUUUUUUUUUUUCCUUUCGCUUGGAAGAAAGCGUGAGAUCACGCUUUGU
rnacentral:precursor_RNA from 1 species